ACUUGUGUGAUGCCGAUCCAGGAACUUCUGUUCCUGGAUCAUCUGAAGUGUGUUGAGCACAGUAAGAUCGCUGACAUUUAGGACAUCACAAACCUGUUGCUAUAUGUGAUUGGUAUGUGGUGUUUACUCUCAAUGAAGGUGACCUUGUGCUCUUCUGCACAUAUGGUUCGGUUUGUCUCAAUGUUACACUGGAAGAAUCGAAGUCUUGUGGGUUUAGCAAGGGUGGUGUGGGUGAUGCCACAGCCAGCCUUGCUUGCCUACACUGUUGCAUUGUUCUCAAGGUUUGGACUUGUUCCUGCCUUGAUUUCAUUGUAGCUCGGUUAUUACCUUUGGACUGAUGCUCAAGUAGGGGCUCAUGCAUCAGGUAGCCAAGGUCCAGUCCAAGUCCGGCCAGGGCGGGCGAAGGCUGCGUGCGUGUGUUCUCACCGUGCGUAGGCUUCACUCAGCUGCUGAGGGCUUUGGCUUGCCUUGGCACUUGAAGCAUGACCCUUGCA
rnacentral:lncRNA from 1 species